rnacentral:piRNA from 1 species
UAGCAGGUAUAGGUUUUCAAGUAAGA